AGAACCUAUCUAAAACUCGAAAUUUGAAGGUAUUAAUUUUGGAAGCGCGAAUGCUUAGACAAAGUGCCAAAAAUAUACGCUCGCUAAGAUAUGAUUUCCUUCCUAAUAUAAAAGUUGAUGUCUGUAUUUCUCCACAUUCUUGCCAAAGCAUGGGUAACACCCCGUUGCAACUGAGCCUAACCACACCCUUCCCCCUGCUUAUCAAAACUGAUGAGCCCUCCUCCUCCCCAGUUUGCCAUUUACUGGCCGCCAUCUUUACUCUUAUGCGCUCUGCCUAGCAACAGGCGCUGGGCGCCAUUUUUUGACGGGUGCUCCGAGGUCGUGUCAGCGUUUUGACGGCGACACUUGUGCGGGCAGACGAGAGCAAGUGGGAUUUUAAUUGGAUCUAAAGGUUCUGGUUCCCAACGCCCUCCUCCAGGUCUAGCCAGCGGUGGUGGUGCCGGCUGGUCGGCCAGUGCCACACCCAGUUGUGCUUUCUUUUCAAUCACCCGGUUCUUUGUCCACUCCUUUUUUUUUCCAGGUCUCCUUGUUCCUGUCUUUCAUCUGUCUCUAGUCCUGCAGUUUCUGGCUUCCCCCCCUAUGGCUUCUCCAAGAUGGCCCCCUAAUCUCAGCCUUCUUACCAGUGGGGUUCUUGGUAGUAGUGCACGGGCUCUGUGUAAUCAGGCCUGUGAACUCCACAUCUGAAAAGAGGAUUCUGUUUCUGAUCACAUCCCUUAUUGAAGUCCAUCCAUUUGCCAAGCACUUUCGAGCCUGUGUAGACC
ensembl:lncRNA